UUUUUGUUGAUCUUUAUGCCUCCAAACUCACCAAGGUUUUAAUGGUUUUUCGAGACUACUUGGAUUAAGAUCUUGUGGGUGCUAUUCUUGUUAGGUGGCAUUAUCAAGAUUAAUAGAUAAUGGAGGUGUGUGGCAAGGGUUGUCAAUAGACAGACUAGUUUUGGCAUUUGAUAGGUCCCUUAUUUUGAUCACUCCGUUGAGUCCAUUAUGAGCAUUCGCAUAAGGUUGGCUUCGAUGUAUGUAGGCAUGAUGUGCCAUUUGAACUUGUGCAAGGGUCAA